rnacentral:rRNA from 1 species
GCCGCGGUAAUACGGAGGGUGCAAGCGUUAAUCGGAAUUACUGGGCGUAAAGCGCACGCAGGCGGUUUGUUAAGUCAGAUGUGAAAUCCCCGGGCUCAACCUGGGAACUGCAUUUGAAACUGGCAAGCUAGAGUCUCGUAGAGGGGGGUAGAAUUCCAGGUGUAGCGGUGAAGUGCGUAGAGAUCUGGAGGAAUACCGGUGGCGAAGGCGGCCCCCUGGACGAAGACUGACGCUCAGGUGCGAAAGCGUGGGGAGCAAACAGGAUUAGAUACCCUGGUAGUCCACGCUGUAAACGAUGUCGAUUUGGAGGUUGUGCCCUUGAGGCGUGGCUUCCGGAGCUAACGCGUUAAAUCGACCGCCUGGGGAGUACGGCCGCAAGGUUAAAACUCAAAUGAAUUGACGGGGGCCCGCACAAGCGGUGGAGCAUGUGGUUUAAUUCGAUGCAACGCGAAGAACCUUACCUACUCUUGACAUCCAGAGAACUUAGCAGAGAUGCUUUGGUGCCUUCGGGAACUCUGAGACAGGUGCUGCAUGGCUGUCGUCAGCUCGUGUUGUGAAAUGUUGGGUUAAGUCCCGCAACGAGCGCAACCCUUAUCCUUUGUUGCCAGCGGUUCGGCCGGGAACUCAAAGGAGACUGCCAGUGAUAAACUGGAGGAAGGUGGGGAUGACGUCAAGUCAUCAUGG